rnacentral:rRNA from 1 species
CCUACGGGGUGCAGCAGUGGGGAAUAUUGGACAAUGGGGGGAACCCUGAUCCAGCGACGCCGCGUGAGUGAAGAAGUAUUUCGGUAUGUAAAGCUCUAUCAGCAGGGAAGAAAAUGACGGUACCUGACUAAGAAGCCCCGGCUAACUACGUGCCAGCAGCCGCGGUAAUACGUAGGGGGCAAGCGUUAUCCGGAUUUACUGGGUGUAAAGGGAGCGUAGACGGUGCAGCAAGUCUGAUGUGAAAGGUCGGGGCCCAACCCCGGGACUGCAUUGGAAACUGUUGAACUGGAGUACAGGAGAGGUAGGCGGAAUUCCUGGUGUAGCGGUGGAAUGCGUAGAUAUUAGGAAGAACACCAGAGGCGAAGGCGGCUAACUGGACUGCAACUGACGCUGAGGCACGAAAGUGUGGGGAGCAAACAGGAUUAGAUACCCGGGUAGUC